rnacentral:lncRNA from 1 species
UCUAAUACCAUGUAAAUAUACACAAAUGCAUCAAUAGUUAAAAAUAGGGUUAACAACGUAUAUAGAAAUAUCUGCUGAUAUAACAUUAUAUAAUUCAAAUUUUUAGGAAUGAAGCCCCCCUACCAUAGGAACAAAAAGUUAAUAGAAGAAGGUGAUAAUUAGCACAAUAGAACGAGUAGACCUUGAUCAGAUACAUAAGAUCAAAUAGAAAAAACCACAUCUAGCUUUUUCAUCUAGUCAUCCCUCCCCUCCUUGAGAUACUUCAAAAUAUACAUGAAUUCCAGCUGGCCCUCCAUGUAAUCUCCAUCGCCGGCCGGACUAGUGACCAGGGCCUUUGGGACUUGGCCCGGCGGCCAACUUCACCAUCCAGCAUGCCAUCCUCGUCUUUGCCUUCUGAUAAAUGUUCGGGUACUCCAGAUAACUCAUGCCAUCGAAGAAUCCAGACACCUGGCUCCUCCUCCUAUCCUUGGGCAUAUGCCUUGUGGCGACGACUCCCUUGGUGCUCAUGGCAAUGGUGGAGAAGAUAAUAAGAAUGAAGAGCAACAGAGUCGCUGCCCUUGCUGUAAAGAAGCUCAUUUGUUACUUGGUGUUCAGCUUUGGGACCUGGAAGGAACUUGGACUGGCGGUGGAUGCAUUCAAAUGAGGCUGGCUAUAUUUAUUAGGUAGGUGUUAUCCAAGUCUCCCGGCGUGUUUCAAUUUGAG